ensembl:lncRNA
UGUCCUAUGUAACUCAGACUGGUUGCAGUUCACUGCCUGGCCACAGUUUUAACAUUGUUUUAGAUGGGUCAAGGGGGGGCGCUAUUUACCUCUUGUCAGAUCCAUAACUUUGCAGCUAAAGUUGUGAUCCCUGGUUGCUAUGGUUAUCUAGCUAAGGCUAUGGUUAGCUAGCUAAGGAAACUUCCGAACAAACGAUUUAAAUAGAAGAUUUCCGUUUGCAUGAAAUGAUAGCUAGUUAUCUAGCUAAUGUUAUAGUCGCCUCGAUUUAACUUCUACAAUUAUAAUGGGUGCCUGUGACACUUCGUAUGAACAAAUUAAUAUUCAUGAGUUCAUAUUCACACAUAUUAACACCAGUUCAUUGUGUGUAAAGAAUGCUGAUAUGAAAUAUGAAAACAACCAGUAGUCAAUGUGCAAGCUUCCAAUUUAAUCGUGAUUUAAGAUACUCUAUUUGAGUUGGGGCAGUCUGUCCUUCAGUCGAGACAUGAUGAUCUCUCGCUACAAGUUUCACCUGUUCGUGUUGGCGUAACAAAUGCUUGUGGAGUCAAGUGCAGUUGAGAGGCGCUUGUCUCCAGGGCACAGAUUACACUUAACUGUCAUAUUUUUCUCUUUUCACGGAUCAUACAAAUAAAAAAGGCUGUGAUUGGAAUACGGGACUGGAGCUGUCAAUUUAAUCAAAAUCACCCAUAAUAUAUCGGGAUGUCCCGGACAAUUCGGGACGUUUGGCAACUCUACUUGCACCUAAGUUAUAACAUAUUUGAGUGUGCUAACAUUAGCAAUAACGUCAGCUAGUUCGAGGUGUAUGCAUAGGUUAACCAUUAAAUUAGCAGCACAUUUCCCGUAUUUAACAAUGAUUACACAUGGACUUACCUGAAAGUGAUGCACGGGCAUCAUCUCGCAGUUUCUUUCUCUUUCUUUUGUCUGCCCCUGACUCCUGUUGUCUUUUAGAGGCCAUUUUCGAAAAGUUGACCUAUCCUACUGUCAAAAUUCGUCAGGCCACUGAGAUAGGAAAGGGCACCCACGGCGAGCUUGGGAAGUUGAGUGUGUAUUUUGUGGGGGAGGGGCACCAGCGUAACUUUUUUUAAGCAAUUAAAUAUAUCUCUUGUUCUGCCUGUUUUGUGAUAUACAUUCCUAAAAGGUCUCUAAUAUUUCUAUACUGAAAUAAUAUCGGCAUUAUGAUUAUUAUAACUAUGAUGAUUUUUCAGUUGCCUAUUUUUUGGUGCCCCCACAGGAGUUGGUGCCCUACGCACAGCGCGUAGUGCGCGUUAUGGGAGCGGCGGCACUGGAGGUGGUGAAGGUGUGUGUGUGUGUGUGUGUGUGAGGCGUUAUGGGAGCGGCGGCACUGCAAGUAUCGCAUUUUCUUACCGUUUGCAGUGCGCCAUCCGGGUACUUUCAGGGCCCUGAAUUCUGCUGGUUCUGUCAGUGUGAACGCCCUAAGCACUGAAAGUCAGUGUUCGAAGUGCACAAGUGCUCGGUUUGAGACACAGCUACAGAUUCUUAGUGGUUGAUCUCUAUGGUUCAGUUCAAUCACUACCGUACUCCACUUCACAUACAGAUUCUUAGUGGUGAAACUCUAUGGUACAGUUCGAUCACUACCGUACUCCACUUCACAUACAGAUUCUUAGAUGAUGCAUUUUUAUUUAAGCAGGUGAUCCUCAAUAAUACAAGUCCUAAUACAUUAUAUAGCAUCAGACAUAACAUACAUUAAGUCAAAUUUUAAAAUAAUACAAAAGUCAACAACCUAAGCCACAGGCGACUCAUUGAUAAAUAAAAGGGGAAAUGACCCUGAAUGGCUAUAUAAAUAAAUACUUUAUGUGGGCCGAGGGUUUCUACGGUAAGACAACCUGCAGUUUCAGUAUUGUUGUUGACUGUUGGGUGAGAUAUUGCCUUUGAUCCAUUAAUUGUGACGUGGGUGAGAUAUUGCCUUUGAUCCAUUAGCUGUGAUGUGGGUGAGAUAUUGCCUUUGAUCCAUUAGUUGUGACAUAGCAGAUCCGUUAGCUAGAGACGCUAAAUGUCAAAAGACCGAACAGACAGGCGUAGCUGGGGCAUUCUAUCCCACAUCUGUGAAGAGAAACAGAAAGAAGGAGCUAGUUAGCAUCUGUGCAGAGAAACAGAAAGAAGGAGCUAGUUAGCAUCUGUGCAGAGAAACAGAGAGAGGGAGCUAGUUAGCAUCUGUACAGAGAAACAGAAAGAAGGAGCUAGUUAGCAUCUGUGCAGAGAAACAGAAAGAAGGAGCUAGUUAGCAUCUGUGCAGAGAAACGGAGAGAGGGAGCUAGUUAGCAUCUGUACAGAGAAACAGAAAGAAGGAGCUAGUUAGCUAAAGAGGGAGCUAGUUAGCUAAAGAGGGAGCAAUGACAGUUAGUCAUCAAACAGAGCCAGGGUUUCAUCUCUCACCAACUUGAAACCAUCUUACUUUACACUAAGAUAAUAAAUAUUGACCUGGCUGACUGAAUAACUAUUAUAUUAUAUUAAUAUUAGUAGUAACUAUAUUAAACUAUAUGUUGUUCUGCGUCCCCGCUGUGGGGAACUUACUGGUUGGACGCUGUGCAGGUGGUGCAGAGGGAUCUGUGGAGCUGCCUGGUACUGCAGGGAGACGGGAGAAGGGCCAGUGUAGGCCGGAGGAGCGGAUCUGUAUGAGGGGCCCUGCUGUAGGGGAGCCCAGUGUGGGUCGGUUCUGUACGAGGGAACCUGCUGUGGGGAAGCCCAGUGUGGGUCGGUUCUGUACGAGGGGCCCUGCUGUAUGGGAGCCCAGUGUGGGUCGGUUCUGGCCCUCAUCUGGCCCGGUGCUGGCCUAGACUGGAGGCCUGGCAGACCCAGUCCCUGCUGCGUGUACAAACUCCCACUCUGAUAGGCAGGGUUGGCAUUCGCCCCUAUAGAGAGGAAUACAAACACAUUUACAUUAAUCACUGACACACACAUUUACAAUAAUCACCCACACACACAUUUACAAUAAUCACUGACACACACAUUUACAUUAAACACUCACAUGCUCACACCAUAUUAAUCAACCACACGCUCACCAUAUUAAUCAACCACACACUCACCAUAUUAAUCAACCACAUGCUCACCAUAUUAAUCAACCACACGCUCACAUCACAUUCACUUACAUCACCAUUAAUCACCCAGACACUUACAGAAAAUGUGUUUCAUUUCAUUAGUUUCAGUUUUGACAACAAAAAUAACAAUUCUACGUAUACAUCCUAUCACGACAUAAUGAAGGGUUUGAAGAAGCAGUUUCCCCUUUUCUGCAGUGCUUUGUUAACGUGUGUUUAGUCUCCAUCCAUCACACAGAUGUCUCACCUGUACUUGCCUCUCUGCAUUGGCUCCCUGUCAAAAGCACAAUUGAUUUCAAAGUACUCCUGCUAACAUACAAAGCCCUAAACGACUUGGCUCCAAACUACCUUAAGGAAUUAGUUGUCCCCUAUUGCCCUCCAGGACCGCUUUGUUCCCAGAGUGCAGGCCUCCUUGUAAUUCCAAGAAUAUCCAAAACCACAAUAGGAGGCAGAGCCUUCAGCUACCGAGCCCCCAUCCUCAAACACACACACACACACACACACACACACACACACACACACACACACACACACACACACAAUAGGAGGCAGAGCCUUCAGCUACCGAGCCCCCCUCCUCACACACACACACAAUAGGAGGCAGAGCCUUCAGCUACCGAGCCCCUCUACUCUGGAAUAAUCUCCCUGCCUCCAUGCGAGAUGCAGACACCCUUUCCAUACUCAAAUCGAGACUAAAGACAUUCCUCUUUAGUGCAUCCUAUAGCCAUAAAUAAUUGCGUCCAAAAACCCAUCACCUGUUGGGCCAGCCAGCCAGCAAAACUAAACAUAACUAAACACAUACAGUAUAAUCCCCAAAAUUUGAUACAAUGUUGUAUCGUGAAGGAGGGCCUUUAUUACGGAUCCCGGGUACAGCAUACUGCUCGUGUUGCUGCUGUCACCAGCCAAUUGGGCACUGUUAACCAUAACUAAACAUAACAAAACUAAAUGCUUAUAAUAUUCCCAUACACCUACCCAGGCAGCCUCUCUCUCUCCUUCUCCUUUUAUAUCACGUUGCUAAUGCCUAUAUUAAUACUGAUAAAAUGCCCAUAUUACCUACUGUUAGUUGACUACCUAAAUGUAUUUCCUUAUCUGUUUAUCUGAUGUCUUCUAACAUAAAUGUUUUCUCUCCUUUAUAGCAUGAUCCAAUUGCUGAUGGAAGUGGAAACAUUGCUCCUCACCACCACUACUCCUCAUCUACGCAUAUGGACAGCCAAACUCUACCCACUCACUCUGUCUUUUCUUUCUCUCCUAGUCUAGACUAUUUUCGCUAUGGGACGCUGCUGUAGUCGCUCCACC